rnacentral:rRNA from 1 species
AGCCUACGGGAGGCUUCAGUGGGGAAUAUUGGACAAUGGGCGAAAGCCUGAUCCAGCAAUGCCGCGUGAGUGAAGAAGGUCUUCGGAUUGUAAAGCUCUUUCGACGGGGACGAUGAUGACGGUACCCGUAGAAGAAGCCCCGGCUAACUUCGUGCCAGCAGCCGCGGUAAUACGAAGGGGGCUAGCGUUGCUCGGAAUGACUGGGCGUAAAGGGCGCGUAGGCGGUUUGGACCGUCAGAUGUGAAAUUCCCGGGCUCAACCUGGGGGCUGCAUUUGAUACGGCCAGACUAGAGUGAGGAAGAGGGUUGUGGAAUUCCCAGUGUAGAGGUGAAAUUCGUAGAUAUUGGGAAGAACACCGGUGGCGAAGGCGGCAACCUGGUCCUUGACUGACGCUGAGGCGCGAAAGCGUGGGGAGCAAACAGGAUUAGAUACCCCGGUAGUCAG